rnacentral:lncRNA from 1 species
AUCACGGAUGGUACCUCAGGCUUCCAUGUCAUAUAAUUAACGUGCAUAAUAAUUGAUUUUUGAUCUAUAAAAUGCUGUGAGACUAGUGGGAUGUUUUGAUUCUUUAGGCACAAUAGUUCAUUUAGCCACAAUAGGGAAAAGCAGAGCUUUGUUCUUUGUGUAGUUUAUAAAUAGACUACUACUGCUACACUAAGAGUAAAGACUAGCUACCACUACUAGAGGAACUAAUCUAAACUAACCACCUCCAUGUAUUUGAUGACAGGAUGUGUUGGGUCUUGUGAGAUCAAUGUAUGCAUUGAUCAGCUUGGAAGAAGAUCCAUCGUUGCUGAGAUACGGUUAUCUCUCUCGGGAUAAUGUUGGAGAUGUGAGGAGAGAAGUUUCUAAGCUCUGUAAGGAGCUAAGACCUCACGCACUUGCACUUGUAACUUCAUUCGGGAUUCCAGACUCCUUCUUGAGUCCAAUUGCAUUCAACUGGGUCGAAGCCAACGCUUGGUCUUCAGUUUAGGUACUAGUUGUAAUCUCUUCCAUAAUUCCCACAAUCCCACGUCUCUUAAAAUCUAUGUUUCCACGAUAUCUACAGAAGUUGUUGUAAGCUAUUCAUAAUAAAAGGGAUAUGUAUCCAAGGUUGAUUCAUUACUUAAACUGGUCCAAACAAAGAGUUUGGUAAUAAAUUUCAAACUCUAGCUAAUAAAUGAUUGUUAUGAUUAUUUAAUCUUUAUUGGUUUAAGUUUGUGGAUAUUGUUUUGGACUACUUAAUUUGUAAAUCAUUCAAGUUUCAUUAGACAUGUUUUAUAUAUAAUUUGUGUAUUAUUAGGUUGCGAAAGUAAUUAAAGAAAGAAACACGAAUGACUUGCAUUAGGAGUAAAAGUAAGUUGAACUUUUGACAUUGCUAACUGCCAACGAUAAAAUGACUUCUCAAGUGAAAGGAGUCAAUGUUCGGUUAAUUUUUCACAACAAAUCAUUGGGUUUUUUUUUCAUAUAUUAUGAGUGAAGACGAAAGAGAGUACUGAACUGUGUAAUUAUAUAAAGGAAACGAGCAAGCCAAAUAAAAAGGAAACAACAUGAUCUCAAAAAACAAAAAAAAAAGGAAACUAACGAAUUUGCCAUUAAAAAAAAAAGAAUGAAAACUGAAUUUGCCAUAAAUAAAAAAAGGAAACGACAUUAUUAUUUUUUAUUUUGUCAAACGGGCCUAAGUGGGCCAAAUCUUGUCUUUUCUACCUCUUCAUGUCCGUCGUGUCGCAAAAUACAUGACGCAUAUCGGCGGCUCUUUCCUCUGACGCUCAAUGUCAAAUAAGACGAAAGAGCUGCAUAUACCUCUGUUUCGGGUUAAGGGAACAAAUUUCUUGAAGAAGAAGAGAAAAUUUCAAAAUUUGUUCUCUCCCUUUCUCUGGAACAUCGACGUUGAUGCUGUGUGAGUGAAACCCUAUUCCCUCUAGAAUGUCGGAAAAUCGUGCCCUCCGGGUCCGGCGAACCCAUGUUCUCGCCAAUCACCUCUGCCGUCUUCCUCGAACCUCUCCCUCACGCGCGAGGUUUGAUUGCACGGUACUAUCCAGACGGAGCUCAACGAAGUCAAUGAGAUGAGGAAAUUGCUCGACGGAGACAGAUCCUGAGGCUCAGCUCAAGAAGUUUUCUUUGUACGAAGUUUGUGGGAUUUCAUGAUUACUACCUCUCCGCCAAACUCGCUCGAUGUCAAAUAAGAAGUUUGCUUUGUACGAAGUUUGUGGGAUUUUAUGAUUACUAGUUACUACCUAUUGAAAACUGUCAAUAGGAGAAAUUUUGGAAAUGCAUAUAGCAUGAUUUGAGUUCAGGGGUAAUGCUCUUAAGUUCUUUGGGGCAUUAUGUUGUCCUGAAAAUUAUGUUGUCAAGGGACAAUGACUGAGUUGGGCCACGGAGCUAAUGUAGGAAUAUUUCUUUCAGUGUCGUGAUGCUCAUAUGCUCUAGUUAUAUAUCAUGUAUUGGUGGUCGUUGAUUUAAUGGAUUUUCAGGUACGAGGAAGUGAGACAGUGACUACUUAUGAUGCAAGAACUAGAGAGUUUGCGAAUCUGCUCAGAAGUAUUUGGAUUGGUAAGGCGGCUAACUAAGUAGUCAUUAUUUUUAAUUCCAUGCAAUUGUUAUUUCACAGCUUUAUAUAAACGGAACCAAUCAGGGGGGUUCAUGUCUUUAUCGCCCAAAUCAGAGAUCAAGAUGGCUACAUAUGUACAAACUCCAAACGUCCUCAUCGCUGACUGUGGACACAAAAAUGGUAUUGGAAAUGGCAGGAUAUGGUAUUGCAAACAAACACCAUGUUAUGGAAUCCAACCUUAUACUAAAGUGCGUGCUUCAAACCGUUUUGGAUGCUGAGGCCAAACUGCCUCUUGGCUCAGUUAAGGUGAGCUGUCAAUUAGUUAAAUGAGAGGUUGUUUAUUCUUCUUGCUAGGAUUCAUUCACCUUAAGUUUUCGUAUCAUGUGAUUUGCUUUUGGGAUAAAUUGAUUAUAGUCAGGGAAAUGUUGCAAAUGUUACCCUUUUCUUCAUGGGAGCUUUAAACACACAAUGUGUUUGAAAAUGAUUCUAUAAACCUGAUGUCAUGUGAGAUACUUACCUCUCUAUGUAGUUAUUCUGUAGACUAUAUACUAAAAGAGAAGACUAGCAGAGGAACUAAACUAAUCUGACCAGCUUUUAUGUAUUUGAUGACAGGAUGUGUUGGGUCUUGUGAGAUCAGUGAAUGCAUGGAUCAGCUUGGAAGAAGAUCCAUCGUUGCUGAGAUACGGUACUUACCUCUCUCGGGAUAAUGUUGGAGACGUGAGGAGAGAAGUUU